ensembl:lncRNA LINC02929 long intergenic non-protein coding RNA 2929
GAAGAGGAAGAGAGACCCGAGCUAGCACACUCAGUCCCCUUGCUAUGUGAUGUUCUUUACCAUCUCAGGACUCUGCACAGAGUCCCCAACAGCAAGAAGGCCCUCACCAGAUACAGCCCCUUGACCUGGGACUUCUCAGCCUCCAUAACCGAAUUGGCCCCUACAAGUCAAGUUGCAAACCCUGGGUCAAAGGGUGAAGUAGAAGGAAGCUGGAAACACAUAGUAUUUUAGAAGUUUUUCAGAGAAAUCACAAGGCAGGAACUUCUGCUCAGUUUGGAAGAAAGAGCAUUCCAUCAUGACCCUUGGACUGGGUGAGAGCAUCAUCCUUUAAUUAAUGUCUGCGCUGGGUCAGAUAACCAUCACUGUCUCCAGGUGCUGGAAUACAGAGAGGAACCAAACAGAUAAAAAUCCUUGCCUGCACGGAGCUUACCUUCAGCUAAGGGAGACAGUCAAAAACAAGUCAACACAUCUAAAGAAGCCACUGAUGAAACAGGCUCCCCCUUGGAAAGACCAUCUCACCUUCCAACCUCUCCAUCCUGCAGAGAGGAAAACCCAAGUUUGGCGUUGGCAGUCAGGUAAUUCAUCAGAUCUGGAAACCACCUCAUCAGCAUCCCCCUGGCCAACUGGAAGCAACCGUGACGUUGUGCUGAAUACACUUGCAGAGUCGUGCUGUGGUCUCUCCGAGCUCAUCACGGCACCUCCCUAUGCAGGAGUUUCAAUUCAAGGAUUUAGCCAAAUUUGGGUGCUAUUUCCCUUUUGUGGAGGGACUUUUCAUCACAAUGAGAAGGACGUCUUAGGACUCCAGGACUUUGAGAGAGAAAGUGUCUCUACAAGUCAAAGCAGGAAUAUCAGCCUUCUUACACUAGGACAACUCCAAAAUUGUGUGAUUGGCAAAUUGACAAUCAUCGAUUUGUUGACUGAACACCUGUUAGGUGUAAGGCACGGUGUCAUAUGCUUUCCUUGGGGCUUGCCUUCAAGCAGCUAACAGAAAUAAGAAGAAAACAGGUGAAAAAGACAGUGUGAUAAGGCCAUGGUGGUGGAUUGUGGAUGCCCUGCCCUGUAUCCACUUGGGAGAGAGCCUCUACAACAUGCUGGCAACUUCCCCCUCACUGAUUCAAAUGUUAAUCUCCUUUGGCAACACCCUCACAGACACACCCAGGAUCAAUACGUUGUAUCCUUUGAUCCAAUCAAGUUGCCACUCAGUAUUAACCAUGACACCUUCUAAGCCAUCAUCUCCUCCUAAUCCUCCCAUAACAAUGGGUAUAAGUUAUGAAGGUGGGUUAGAAACUAGUGCCUAUCCCUCACUAAGUUGCCAGAUGGAUUUAACAGCACCUCAAAGUCAACAUGCCCCAAGUCAAAGUCUUCUUUACCCAUGGAAUAAGCUGGCUUGCUACUUCCCUACAUCUCUGAAGGGCUCCACCAUUCCUCUAGCAACCAUGCUCUCAAAGCUCAGAGGGAGGAAAAGGAAAUGGAUCUAAAUGGAAUUCCAGGUCCCACGCUGGAUAUUUUCACACCUUACCUCAUUUAAUACAACAAGCAAGGAGGUAGACAAUAUUGUCUACCUUUGCAAAUGAGGAAACAGAGGCUUAGAGAAGUUAAAUAAUUUGCCUGAGAAUAAAGCUAAAAGUAGCUUUAAAAUACUAGAGCUGGGAUUGCAAGUUUGAUGCAAAGUUUGUGCUCUCUUCAUCCUUCACCAAGAUCUUUCAUUUUCCCUUUAAAUAUCUCUUAUGUCUGCAUUUCCCUUCCAUUCCCAUCACUAGCACUGUCCUCUAAUGCCCCACCCAGUGGGGAAGUCUCCAAUAGGUCCCCCUGCUUAUAACAGCCAAGAGGGUAGCUAUAAACUAGGUCCAAUAACAUGCUUCAUGUGAGGGAACUGAUGGACAGCUGUCUAAUUCAUAACCUCUGGCCUCAACGGAAUUUACAGUUCAGAGUCCAAAAUAGCAAGGAAGUGGUGGGAAGAAGGUGAGAGAAAAGGGUGGGAGGGUGAGAGAGGGGAGGGAGGGGAAUAAGGUGUGGGCAGUAGAGGGAAUCUGUCAGUCUCAUGGUUUGCCCUAGGAAACCUUCUGCUCAGCCCCAGCCUGCUUCUGGGCACUCCUCCUCACCCCUCCUUGCUGUCCAUAUGGGUUCAAUGUGAGUAACCACAAUUGUAGAGUGUGGCCAUCUUCUUCUGACAUGGUCCUAAAUAAACCUAACUGAGUAGCCAGAAGAAUCACUUCUAAGGUAAACAUCUGUAAACAUUGGUUAUAUUUAUUUUCAAUAUUACUGGUUAACAUUGUGGAGCUAUUACUGAUGGGCCAGACUCUGUGCUAGGCACAGACUUUCUAGGGAUUAUUUCAUUUAAUUCUCAUGGCAACCACCAUGCAUUUGCAGAUAGGCAAGUCAGGCUCACAAAAAUGUAUGCAGAGCUUCAGGGUUGUGAUGGGUAGAGCCAAACCCAUCUGCCCAACCCAAGGGCCCGUGCGCUCCAACCCUGCAUCGAACUGCCAACAUAGUACACCUUUUAGAAAAAGAUUCUUGUUGCAAAAGUACCAUAGGCAGUGUGUGUGUAAGGUCAUUGUAAAAGUGUAGAUAAGCAAGAAAGUGUUAUACCACCACUCAGAAGUAACCACUGUUAACAUGUUGGCUUAUCUGCUCUCAGGUGUUUCUGUGCCUGUACAUACUAUUCUUCUUGAAUAAAAACAGGAUUACACAGUGU